rnacentral:tRNA from 1 species
UGGCUCAGUUGGUAGAGCAUGGUGUUUGCAACGCCAGGGUUGUGUGGUUCAAUUCCCAC